GCAAAUCUGGUGGGUAGAGGUGGCUGGGAAGAUGGACUUUUGUUUCCCGGCGGGAAUUUACAGCGUUUUCUUCAAACUUCAUCUGGGACGAAUGGCUAAGAGACUUGGUCGUCGGGUCUGCAACUGCGAACAUAUACAUGGUUGGGAAAAAAAACCAGUGAAAUUUCAGGUGUCAACCUCAUGUGGACAGAAGGAUUUAAAACGGAGUUUUUUGGAUGAACCUGGGAAGUGGAAAUACUACCAUGGUGGAGAUUUCGUAGUGAAUGAUUCCAACAUAUCCACCACGGUCAUGUUCUCAUUAAUACAAAUC
rnacentral:lncRNA from 1 species